GCUUGUCUCAAAGAUUAAGCCAUGCAUGUCUAAGUAUGAACUAUCUAUUGUGAAACCGCGAAUGGCUCAUUACAACAGCCAUAGUUUACUGGAUAUAUUCCAUUACAUGGAUAACUGUGGUAAUUCUACAGCUAAUACACGCAUCAAAAGCCCGACUAUGGGAGGGCUGCGUUAGUUACUUCAAACUGAUCAGUCUUCGGACUGCAUUCAAGUGAGAUUGAACUAUUUAGCCGAUCGCACGGUCUAAGAACCGGCGACAUAUCCUUCAAAUGUCUGCCUUAUCAACUGUCGAUGGUAGAUUAUGCGCCUACCAUGGUUGUAACGGGUAACGGAGAAUCAGGGUUUGAUUCCGGAGAGGGAGCCUGAGAAAUGGCUACCACAUCCAAGGAAGGCAGCAGGCACGCAAAUUACCCAUUCCCGGCACGGGGAGGUAGUGACGAAAAAUAACAAGCUGGUCUCUUUGAGUUCCGGCAUUGUAAUGGGAACAACUUAAAUCAUUUAUCGAGGAUCUAUUGGAGGGCAAGUCUGGUGCCAGCAGCCGCGGUAAUUCCAGCUCCAAUAGCGUAUAUUAAAGUUGUUGCGGUUAAAAAGCUCGUAGUUGGAUCUACGAUCCAGGCCAGUGGUCGCCCUUCUCGGGUGCACUGCUCGGACUGAUCGACAUAUCUGGUGAACGAUUGUUGCUCUUCAUUGAGUGACUCUAGUUGCUGGAACGUUUACCUUGAAAAAAUUGAAGUGCUCAAAGCAGGCAUAUGGCUGAACAUUGCUGCAUGGGAUAAUUGAAUAGGACUUCGGUUCUAUUUUGUUGGUUUCGGAACGCGGAGUAAUGAUUAAUAGGGACAGACGGGGGCAUUCGUAUUGCUGCGUUAGAGGUGAAAUUCUUGGAUCGUAGCAAGACGACCUACUGCGAAAGCAUUUGCCAAGAAUGUUUUCAUUAAUCAAGAACGAAAGUUAGAGGUUCGAAGGCGAUCAGAUACCGCCCUAGUUCUAACCGUAAACGAUGUUAACUAGCGACUCGCAGGUGUUACUUUAACGGCCCUGCGAGGAGCUCCCGGGAAACCUAAGUGUUCGAAUUCCGGGGGAAGUAUGGUUGCAAAGCUGAAACUUAAAGGAAUUGACGGAAGGGCACCACCAGGAGUGGAGCUUGCGGCUUAAUUUGACUCAACGCGGGGAAACUCACUUGGUCAGGACACUGUAAGGAUUGACAGAUUGAAAGCUCUUUCUUGAUUCGGUGGAUGGUGGUGCAUGGCCGUUCUUAGUUGGUGGGGUGAUUUGUCUGGUUAAUUCCGAUAACGAGCGAGA
rnacentral:rRNA from 1 species